GACGAACGCUGGCGGCGUGCUUAACACAUGCAAGUCGAACGGAAAGGCCCUGCUUUUGUGGGGUGCUCGAGUGGCGAACGGGAGAGUAACACGUGAGUAACCUGCCCUUGACUUUGGGAUAACUUCAGGAAACUGGGGCUAAUACCGGAUAGGUGCUCCUGCUGCAUGGUGGGGGUUGGAAAGUUUCGGCGGUUGGGGAUGGACUGGCGGGUUAUUAGCUAGUUGGUGGGGUGGUGGCUUACCAAGGCGAUGACGGGUAGCUGGUCUGAGAGGGUGACCAGCCACACUGGAACGGAGACACGGUCACGAGGCCUAGGGGAGGCAGCAGUGGGGAAUAUGGGACAAUGGGGGGGAGCAUGAUGCAGAAAUAGCGCGUGGGUGAAGAAGGCCUUCGGGUUGUAAAGUCAUUGUGUUGGGAAAGAAAAGCAGCAGGUUAAUACCCCGCUGUUCUGACGGUACCCAAAGAAUAAGAACAGGCUAACUUCGUG
rnacentral:rRNA from 1 species